UGGAAACGUUCAGGUGGUCAAUCAGCAUCUGUGGAGAGAAGAGUUCAUGUUUCAGCUAAUUGGUCUACAGGUCCUGUGCUUGUUCUAUAUUUCAAAAGGAGAUGGGACAUGAUUAGCUCGCCACCAGUUCUCUGGCACAAUCCUUUUCCCUGAGAACCCUCAUCUGAGUGUAACUAGUCUGCGUUUGGGCCUGCAAAGCUGAGACCAGUUGGUGAGAACUUCCAAACAUCCACCAGGACCAGUGGCCCAUCUUCACAUGAGGGAACUCCAGGCCGACAGCAUCAAGAUCCUCCAGAUUUUAUCCUUUAUCUUAUAGUACCUGCCCUCCAAACCCAUUUCUGCAGAGAGACUCUCUCUGUUUGGCCUUCGUUUACCUGUGUGUAUGUCUGUGCGGGGGCUAGGGGAAAUUUUUUAGAAAGAGAUAGAUAGUUCCCGAUUUACAAUUGUGUGUUAACCGGUACUUGCAACUUGUUAAAAGAUGUUUUGUUUUAAAAUAAA